GUAAAAGUGGCGUACUACUCGGACAACAUCGUUCCCAGCAGCGACCUGGGAGUCCAAGAUGCAUCCAGACAUCCCCCCAUGCUGUUCCCGAACAAUUUAAGUGGUGUUUACAUCAAUUUCUGAACUUUUCCUCUAAAGAGGGGAGGGUGCC